ACCGGCUAUGCGUCAAACGGCAGCGCUGCGACGACGCAACGCUGACGCAACGGCCGUUUGGACAGGCUCUAACGUGAAUCUAUUGUUUAGU